GCCGCCUUCCCUCCCCCGACAUGGGGGCCAUGGUUCCCGCUUAUUGGCAAGGGGCUCAGGAGCGGCUGGAAAGGGGAGAAAGCAGUGAAGGAAGGAGAUCAUUUGCACACCCAGACUUGUUCUGCAGAGCAGUUGUCAGGGUGCCCAGAGCGCUGAGCUCCCACCUCGCCUCUCCCAGGUGUGAGAGCCGGCGGCGGCCUGCGAAGGCCAGGUAAUUGCUGAAGGAUUUUGCUUCCCACAGGCUCUUGCUUGUAUGGGGUGUGCAGUGCUGCAGCGUGGACCAAGGACAAGCAGCUUCUGGCCAGAAAUGCCAGUGAGCCUUGGAGGAGAGCUGCACCAUCGCCCUUCAUAGAUGAGAAAACUCUGAGGAGGGACGUCCAGCUUCAUGCAGCAAGUGCAGAAGCUUUUCAAACACGCGUCUUCUACGAGAAGUUCCGGGUCUCUCCUCUGCACCACUGCUGCCUCUUGAAGAGUUUCAAAGAGCUGGUGUCAAAACUGAGGUUCAGAGAAGGACAAUGCUGCAGACUUAGUCCCCCUGAAAGGACAAGCCUCCUAAACAAUGAGUGAAAAGACAGUUCCAUCCUUCAAGACUUAGACCCUCCCUGGGUUCUUUCCUGUAGGAGUGAGUGGUGUGGGUCUGCAGUUUGACCGGAGGCUGUUAGGUGUCAGGAUCACGCUUAAGGAAAGGAGGAGCUGCCUGGGAGAGAAGACUGGAGCUGGUGUGGUCUGUACACUGCUGAUGACGCAGGAGAUGAAUUUAGAUGGUAAAAUUUUUAUUGUUGCCUUCGAUUUGUGGCAGGGGCUAUGGCUUUCCAUAUAUAGUAAUGAUGUAAGAUUUAGUUUCUAAAAACAUUUAAGUAAAUAAAGAGAGUCAAUUUAAAGGCAAGUACGAAACAAUGUGGUUUGACUUUUGAGAAACUGACAAGGGGUCCUGAAAAGGUACUCCUGGCCCUGAAUUUCCUCCCAGACAAGCUUGUGGCAAUUCAUGGACUUGGGACCAGGAAUUGCCCAUUUUGGGAAACCUCUGUUCAAGCCUCAGGCGGCCGGAGCUAGAAGACAUUUGAAGGACCGCCUGCCUGAUCCAACAUUUCCUAUCAGAGAUGAGGAAAUGGAAGCCAGGGCUGAGGUUGUAGAAGGUGUGUCAGCACACACUUUCUCAGAAGGAGCCUUGAUCUGAUUCGCUUUCCGUCUGAGACCCCUGGGGUGCAGGGCUGAGCCAAUGGCCCAGGUUCACACCCCCAAGAGCAAGGUGGAGAAGCACAGGGUGAGGUUUUGAGCACAGUGGGCUUCAAAAUGACCAAAGCAGCUUUGAAAACAUACAGAUGCCUGGGCCCCAUUCCCAGAGAUUCUGAUUUGGUGCUUUGAUUUGGGGGCAGCAUUCAGGGAAACUGUUCUUUAAAAAUCUCCCCAGCUGCCCACCCUAAACUGGACACCGAGGACCCGACAUGACAUUCUUAGGGAGGACAAUCCUUGAGUUACCCUUUCUUCUGCAUUUUCUAGGCUCCCCCAAUACCUAAUGCAGAGUGGGGUAGGAGAAAGGAGAGAGACGGGGAA